rnacentral:rRNA from 1 species
AUUGAACGCUGGCGGAAUGCUUUACACAUGCAAGUCGAACGGCAGCACGGGGGCAACCCUGGUGGCGAGUGGCGAACGGGUGAGUAAUACAUCUGAACGUGCCCGUUCGUGGGGGAUAACGUAGCGAAAGUUACGCUAAUACCGCAUACGAUCUGUGGAUGAAAGCGGGGGACCUUCGGGCCUCGCGCGAUCGGAGCGGCCGAUGUCAGAUUAGGUAGUUGGUGGGGUAAAGGCCUACCAAGCCGACGAUCUGUAGCUGGUCUGAGAGGACGACCAGCCACACUGGGACUGAGACACGGCCCAGACUCCUACGGGAGGCAGCAGUGGGGAAUAUUGGACAAUGGGCGCAAGCCUGAUCCAGCCAUUCCGCGUGCAGGACGAAGGCCUUCGGGUUGUAAACUGCUUUUGUAUGGAACGAAAAGGCUCUGGCUAAUACCUGGGGCUAAUGACGGUACCGUAAGAAUAAGCACCGGCUAACUACGUG